AUUGAACGCUGGCGGCAGGCCUAACACAUGCAAGUCGAACGAGUGGCGGACGGGUGAGUAAUGUCUGGGAAACUGCCUGAUGGAGGGGGUUAACUACUGGAAACGGUAGCUAAUACCGCAUACCAUCGGAUGUGCCCAGAUGGGAUUAGCUGGUAGGUGGGGUAAAGGGUCACCUGGGCGACGAUCCCUAGCUGGUCUGAGAGGAUGACCAGCCAAACUGGAACUGAGACACGGGCCAGACGCCUACGUGAGGCAGCAGGGGGGAAUAUGGCACAAUGGGAGCAAGCGUGAUGGCGCCAUGCCGCGUGGAUGCAGGAGGCAUUAGGGUUGUAAAGUACUUUCAGUGGGGAGGCGUUACCCGCAGAAGAAGCACCGGCUAACUCCGUGCCAGCAGCCGCGGUAAUUC
rnacentral:rRNA from 1 species